rnacentral:rRNA from 1 species
GCCGUAACUUCGGGAGAAGGCACGCUGACACGUAGGUGAAGUGAUUUACUCAUGGAGCUGAAGUCAGUCGAAGAUACCAGCUGGCUGCAACUGUUUAUUAAAAACACAGCACUGUGCAAACACGAAAGUGGACGUAUACGGUGUGACGCCUGCCCGGUGCCGGAAGGUUAAUUGAUGGGGUCAGCGCAAGCGAAGCUCCUGAUCGAAGCCCCGGUAAACGGCGGCCGUAACUAUAACGGUCCUAAGGUAGCGAAAUUCCUUGUCGGGUAAGUUCCGACCUGCACGAAUGGCGUAAUGAUGGCCAGGCUGUCUCCACCCGAGACUCAGUGAAAUUGAACUCGCUGUGAAGAUGCAGUGUACCCGCGGCAAGACGGAAAGACCCCGUGAACCUUUACUAUAGCUUGACACUGAACAUUGAGCCUUGAUGUGUAGGAUAGGUGGGAGGCUUUGAAGUGUGGACGCCAGUCUGCAUGGAGCCGACCUUGAAAUACCACCCUUUAAUGUUUGAUGUUCUAACGUGGACCCGUAAUCCGGGUUGCGGACAGUGUCUGGUGGGUAGUUUGACUGGGGCGGUCUCCUCCUAAAGAGUAACGGAGGAGCACGAAGGUUGGCUAAUCCUGGUCGGACAUCAGGAGGUUAGUGCAAUGGCAUAAGCCAGCUUGACUGCGAGCGUGACGGCGCGAGCAGGUGCGAAAGCAGGUCAUAGUGAUCCGGUGGUUCUGAAUGGAAGGGCCAUCGCUCAACGGAUAAAAGGUACUCCGGGGAUAACAGGCUGAUACCGCCCAAGAGUUCAUAUCGACGGCGGUGUUUGGCACCUCGAUGUCGGCUCAUCACAUCCUGGGGCUGAAGUAGGUCCCAAGGGUAUGGCUGUUCGCCAUUUAAAGUGGUACGCGAGCUGGGUUUAGAACGUCGUGAGACAGUUCGGUCCCUAUCUGCCGUGGGCGCUGGAGAACUGAGGGGGGCUGCUCCUAGUACGAGAGGACCGGAGUGGACGCAUCACUGGUGUUCGGGUUGUCAUGCCAAUGGCACUGCCCGGUAGCUAAAUGCGGAAGAGAUAAGUGCUGAAAGCAUCUAAGCACGAAACUUGCCCCGAGAUGAGUUCUCCCUGAGACUUUAAGUCUCCUGAAGGAACGUUGAAGACGACGACGUUGAUAGGCCGGGUGUGUAAGCGCAGCGAUGCGUUGAGCUAACCGGUACUAAUGAACCGUGAGGCUUAACCUU